UAUGUGAAGAUUAUGACGGUAGCAUAUGAAUAAGGAUUGGCUAACUCCGUGCCAGCAGCCGCGGUCAUACGGAGGAUCCAAGCGUUAUCCGGAAUUACUGGGCGUAAAGAGUUGCGUAGGUGGCAUUGUAAGUUGGUAGUGAAAGCGUUCGGCUCAACCGAAUAAACAUUAUCAAAACUGCAAAGCUAGAGGAUGAGAGAGGUUAUUGGAAUUCCUUGUGUAGGAGUGAAAUCCGUAGAUAUAAG
rnacentral:rRNA from 1 species